UGAGGAAGCUGAGGCCUGCUGGCCGCUCCCAGAGCAGCUGGGCGUGCUAGAAAGCGUGAGGUGUCAAAGGGAAACACUGCCGUGACAGAGACCAGGUGGCAUGUCUUUUAGUCAGCGGGAAAUUUCAGAUUUUCUGCCCAGGCGAUGUCCACGGCAGCUCGGUUGCCAUGCGUACGUCUGCGUUGUUUGUCUCCUCAUUCAGAACUGACACCUGAAGUUUGGUUUCUCUGUGAUGGGCAAGUGCCCUGGCCAGUCUCCAAAUGGCUGCUCUGUAAGGUAUCAGACACACAGAGAGAAAUGUGUUGGCAACCACAGCAUGGAAAUCAAGAAGGAGGAAGUGACACACUCUGCCUCUCAAGUGAGAACUAACGAAAAGACAUCUGUAUCAGGGAGAAAGCAAAAGAUCUUGAGACAAGUAUUUAAGGAUGAGCAGGGACCCCUGAGGAGGCUGAGGGCACCUGAGAC
rnacentral:lncRNA from 1 species